UGGGGAAUUUUGGACAAUGGGCGAAAGCCUGAUCCAGCAAUGCCGCGUGUGUGAAGAAGGCCUUCGGGUUGUAAAGCACUUUUGUCCGGAAAGAAAUGGCUCUGGUUAAUACCUGGGGUCGAUGACGGUACCGGAAGAAUAAGGACCGGCUAACUACGUGCCAGCAGCCGCGGUAAUACGUAGGGUCCAAGCGUUAAUCGGAAUUACUGGGCGUAAAGCGUGCGCAGGCGGUUGUGCAAGACCGAUGUGAAAUCCCCGAGCUUAACUUGGGAAUUGCAUUGGUGACUGCACGGCUAGAGUGUGUCAGAGGGGGGUAGAAUUCCACGUGUAGCAGUGAAAUGCGUAGAGAUGUGGAGGGAAUACCGAUGGCGAAGGCAGCCCCCUGGGAUAACACUGACGCUCAUGCACGAAAGCGUGGGGAGCAAACAGGAUUAGAUACCCUGGUAGUCCACGCCCUAAACGAUGUCAACUAGUUGUUGGGGAUUCAUUUCCUUAGUAACGUAGCUAACGCGUGAAGUUGGACCGCCUUGGGGAGUACGGUCGCAAGAUUAAAAGCUC
rnacentral:rRNA from 1 species